rnacentral:rRNA from 1 species
UGACCUCAAAUCAGGUAAGAAUACCCGCUGAU